rnacentral:rRNA from 1 species
AGCUCACGUAGUGAAUCAUCGAAUCUUUGAACGCAACUUGCACUCUAGGUUCUCCUAGAGUAUGCCUAUUUGAGUAUCGGUACACCCCACUCAAACCCCACCCCCUCGUGGGAUGUGUGGUUUGGAUCCAAUGAGUCAUGCGUGCGUGUGUAUCCACACACACACGCUGAUUUAAAGUGUACACUGAAUCGGGCCUAUGUAUACCGUACAUGCGGCACUGACGUGAUAGUCUCACACGUUUGGGAACACUCGUCAGGAUCAAUGCCACGUGUCGGUCAUAGUGACCCAGUCACACACACAUCAUACACCUCAAAUCUCGAUCUCAAAUUAGGUAGGAAUACCCGCUGAACUUAAGCAUAUCAAUAAGCGGAGG